rnacentral:rRNA from 1 species
GACGAACGCUGGCGGCGUGCUUAACACAUGCAAGUCGAACGGAAAGGCCCUGCUUUUGUGGGGUGCUCGAGUGGCGAACGGGUGAGUAACACGUGAGUAACCUGCCCUUGACUUUGGGAUAACUUCAGGAAACUGGGGCUAAUACCGGAUAGGAGCUCCUGCUGCAUGGGGGGGGUUGGAAAGUUUCGGCGGUUGGGGAUGGACUCGCGGCUUAUCAGCUUGUUGGUGGGGUAGUGGCUUACCAAGGCUUUGACGGGUAGCCGGCCUGAGAGGGUGGCCGGCCACAUUGGGACUAAGAUACGGCCCAGACUCCUACGGGAGGCAGCAGUGGGGAAUAUUGCACAAUGGGCGGAAGCCUGAUGCAGCAACGCCGCGUGCGGGAUGACGGCCUUCGGGUUGUAAACCGCUUUCGCCUGUGACGAAGCGUGAGUGACGGUAAUGGGUAAAGAAGCACCGGCUAACUACGUG